rnacentral:rRNA from 1 species
AAGCGAAACUGCGAAUGGCUCAUUAUAUAAGUUAUCGUUUAUUUGAUAGUACCUUACUACAUGGAUAACCGUGGUAAUUCUAGAGCUAAUACAUGCUGAAAAUCCCGACUUCGGAAGGGAUGUAUUUAUUAGAUACAAAACCAAUGCCCUUCGGGGCUCUCUUGGUGAUUCAUGAUAACUUCUCGAAUCGCACGGCCCCGCGCCGGCGAUGGUUCAUUCAAAUUUCUUCCCUAUCAACUUUCGAUGCUACGGUAUUGUCCUAGCAUGGUUGCAACGGGUGACGGAGGGUUAGGGCUCGACCCCGGAGAAGGAGCCUGAGAAACGGCUACUACAUCCAAGGAAGGCAGCAGGCGCGCAAAUUACCCAAUCCCGACUCGGGGAGGUAGUGACGAUAAAUACCGAUACAGGGCUCUUUUGGGUCCUGUAAUUGGAAUGAGUACAAUUCAAAUCCCUUAACGAGGAACAAUUGGAGGGCAAGUCUGGUGCCAGCAGCCGCGGUAAUUCCAGCUCCAAUAGCGUAUAUUAAAGUUGUUGUGGUUAAAAAGCUCGUAGUAGAAGCUCGGCCUCCGGUCGGCCGGUCCGCCUCACCGCGUGCACUGGUUCGGCCGGGGCUUCACCUUCUGCGGAACCGCAUCUCCUUCACUGGGGGUGUCGGGGAAACAGGACGUUUACUUUGAAAAAAUUAGAGUGCUCCAGGCAGGCCUAUGCUCGAAUACAUUAGCAUGGAAUAAUGGAAUAGGACGUGUGGUCUUAUUUCGUUGGUUUCUAAGACCGCCGUAAUGAUUAAUAGGGACAGUCGGGGGCAUCAGUAUUCAAUUGUCAGAGGUGAAAUUCUUGGAUCAAUUGAAGACUAACUACUGCGAAAGCAUUUGCCAAGGAUGUUUUCAUUUAUCAGGAACGAAAGUUAGGGGAUCGAAGACGAUCAGAUACCGUCGUAGUCUUAACCAUAAACUAUGCCGACUAGGGAUCGGACGGUGUUAUUUCUUGACCCGUUCGGCACCUUACGAGAAAUCAAAGUGCU